AGAAUGCUUUUACCUUAAGAGUAAAUGUGCUUGAUUAGAAAGAGCUGUGUGGAUACUUGUAACUGCUGGCAAUAUACUACUCACAGCCCUCAGAGAGAAGCGGGGGUUAUCACAGUGUAAGAUUAUGGCAUCAGUGGCUGAAAAGUCUUCAAUGGAUAGAAGUUCUUCACUGAGAGCUAGCACUAGAAAUUCACAGGAGAAGAGGCUCACUCCUGAUUUACUAUGAUGUAAGAGAAGAAUCUGGCCCUGGCACACAGUCCUGAGAAGAAACAACCUAGAAAUCUACAUAAUAGUGAGGGAAAAUGCUCAUGGCUUUUUUUUUUUUUGCACCCGGAAGCUCAUUUGCAAAGAGAGCUAAAGGCAGAGGAAAAAGUGACCUGUUUCCUCCCCCUCUCCCCAUACUGGGUAUAUUGCACCAUCCUGUGAGA